GAUGAACGCUGGCGGCGUGCCUAAUACAUGCAAGUCGAGCGAACGUACGAGAAGCUUUCUUCUCUGAUGUUAUCGCCGGACGGGUGAGUAACACGUGGAUAACCUACCUAUAAGACUGGGAUAACUUCGGGAAACCGUAGCUAAUACCGGAUAAUAUUUUGAACCGCAUGGUUCACAAGUGAAAGACGGUCUUGCUGUCACUUAUAGAUGGAUCCGCGCUGCAUUAGCUAGUUGGUAAGGUAACGGCUUACCAAGGCAACGAUGGAUAGCCGACCUGAGAGGGAGGAUCAGCAGACUGGAAGUGAGGAGCGGCACAGACUGCGAAAGGGAGAAACAGUAGGGAAUCUUACGGAAUGGGGCAAAGGCGGACGGAGCAAAACCGGGGAAAGAAUGAAGGAGCUAGGAUGGGUAAACGAUGAUGUUAGGGAAAAAGAAAAGUGUAAGUAACGGGGAACAUAAUGACGGUACCUAAACAAGAAGCCACGGCUAACUACGUG
rnacentral:rRNA from 1 species